ensembl:lncRNA
CGGCGUUUAUCCCUAACCCUCUGAAAAGAGACACACACAUAGAGGUUGGAGCAGGGGGCUGCCAUACUACAGCACCUGUGGAGCAGUUUUUGUGGGGGGGGGGUUUAUGUGCCUUGCUCAAGGGCAGGUAUGGAGCAUCUAGGAUUUAACACCAGGAUCCACUUCCUGUCUCCCAGGGUGAUGAGAGUAUGGUUUACUGAUGUUGCCACUUACUUCUGUCUCCCAGGGUGAUGAGAGAAUGGUUUACUGAUGUUGCCACUUACUUCCUGUCUCCCAGGGUGAUGAGAGAAUGGUUUACUGAUGUUGCCACUUACUUCUGUCUCCCAGGGGGAUGAGAGAAUGGUCUUACUGAUGUUACCACUUACUUCCUGUCUCCCAGGGUGAUGAGAGAAUGGUCUUACUGAUGGUACCACUUACUUCCUGUCUCCCAGGGUGAUGAGAGAAUGGUCUUACUGAUGGUACCACUUACUUCCUGUCUCCCAGGGUGAUGAGAGAAUGGUUUACUGAUGUUGCCACUUCUGUCUCCCAGGGGGAUGAGAGAAUGGUCUUACUGAUGUUACCACUUACUUCCUGUCUCCCGGGGUGAUGAAAGAAUGGUUUACUGAUGUUACCACUUCCUGUCACCCAGGUUGAUGAGAGAAUGGUUUACUGAUGUUACCACUUACUUCCUGUCUCCCAGGGUGAUGCGAGAAUGGUUUACUGAUGUUACCACUUACUUCCUGUCUCCCAGGGUGAUGAGAGAAUGGUUUACUGAUGUUACCACUUACUUCCUGUCUCCCAGGGUGAUGAGAGAAUGGUUUACUGAUGUUACCACUUACUUCCUGUCUCCCAGGGUGAUGAGAGAAUGGUUUACUGAUGUUGCCACUUACUUCCUGUCUCCCGGGGUGAUGAAAGAAUGGUUUACUGAUGUUACCACUUCCUGUCACCCAGGUUGAUGAGAGAAUGGUUUACUGAUGUUACCACUUCCUGUCACCCAGGUUGAUGAGAGAAUGGUUUACUGAUGUUACCACUUCCUGUCUCCCAGGGUGAUGAGAGAAUGGUUUACUGAUGUUACCACUUACUUCCUGUCUCCCAGGGUGAUGAGAGAAUGGUUUACUGAUGUUACCACUUACUUCCUGUCACCCAGGUUGAUGAGAGAAUGGUUUACUGAUGUUACCACUUACUUCCUGUCUCCCAGGGUGAUGAGAGAAUGGUUUACUGAUGUUACCACUUCCUGUCUCCCAGGGUGAUGAGAGAAUGGUUUACUGAUGUUACCACUUACUUCCUGUCUCCCAGGGUGAUGAGAGAAUGGUUUACUGAUGUUACCACUUACUUCCUGUCUCCCAGGGUAAUGAGAGAAUGGUUUACUGAUGUUACCACUUACUUCCUGUCUCCCAGGGUUAUGAGAGAAUGGUCUUUCUGAUGUUAAUGAUUUAUUCAAAUCUCUUUCCAUCUGUCAGAGUAUUCCUCAUUCCUUUUUACCUAAUGCUGCUCACUCAGGAUAUUGUUUGAACAUUUUGGGAGUAAUGAUAUAGUUGACUCCUGAUGAGCGCAUUUUGUACAAGUGUAAACUCUGUUUUAAGUGAACUGCAGUGUUCUUCCAGCCCCAAUUCAACAACAUUCUAUAUAACUGCAUUCUCUGGUUUUAGUGCACGCUGUCCCAUCAAUCCCAAGCAGCUGUCAGGAGUCACCUGAGUUACAAUUUCUUGUCCUUCUAUUCAGUUAGAAUCUAUAUCCAUUAUCACUGGUCUGUUCCUUGUAGUAAAACUCCAGGUUAUUGAUACUGAUUUAUACGAAUAUUGAUUUCAAGUGUACUUUUCAGAAAACAUCUUAAUUUGUCCACUAGUUUUCUAAAGUUUUCUAAGUCGCUAAAUGACGUCAUCACCUAAUUUGCAUAAUUGGCCACGUGCAUGUAAUUGUGAUGGAUGCUGUAGGAGAGAGGAACGACGUCGUGGGAGAGAUAAAAAGUGAGUAAAAAAACACCCUAAAUAUAUAAUAUAAUACUCCUCCUUCAGCACUUUAUGGACCCCAUUGUUAAUCCCUGUCAUAACAGAAGCAUUGUCAGUCCUUAUCCCCAGGAGUUUCUCUUUUUGAAGACAACACUUCCUGAGGAAAGCCACAACAGCACAGGGCUUUAGAUUUGACAUCUUCUCCAACUUGGGGCGGCAGGGUAGCCUAGUGGUUAGAGCGUUGGACUAGUAACCGGAAGGUUGCAAGUUCAAACCCCCCAGCUGACAAGGUACAAAAAUCUGUCGUUCUGCCCCUGAACAGGCAGUUAACCCACUGUUCCUAGGCCGUCAUUGAAAAUAAGAAUUUGUUCUUAACUGACUUGCCUGGUUCAAUAAAGGUAAGAUAAAAAAAAUAAAAACAACAAGCCCCAUAAAAUUGUCUGCUUGGUGUCACUAAAGUACCUUAUCACAACCCCCAGGUACUUAGAAACACUUACGUCCGUGGACUCAUCGAGGAGGAGGCGGAAACACUGGUCACCCACAUCUGUGGACUCAUCGAGGAGGAGGCGGAAACACUGGUCACCCACAUCUGCGACCAACUUUUUCAGAAAGUAGGGUGCUAGAACACCAUUAAUCAUCUCUGUGCACUUUGACCUGUGCAUUUUGAAGUGGAUAGCAGCAGUGGAGUCUGAGAAAGCAGCUCUACAUGCUUCUCCAAUGUGAUCACAUGCCAGCAUGGAACAGUGUUCAGCGAUAGCUAAUACCAUGGUGGCCUCAGCCUUAUUCGCAGAGUCAAUUUUUUUUAACCAUAAAUGGCAGCUUGUUUUUGGUGGUACUGUUAUAAGGCUUUGCCUUUUCAGUAUGUUUUUGAGUUGUCAUGUUUUUUUACAUCACUAAGUUUGGCGUAGAAAUCAGCCUUACAAUACAGCCAGUAUGUCCAUGUAUCAUCUCCAAUAUACGGCUUCAACCAGCCUUUGAAUUCAGGGUUUGAUUCCCACUCCUUUCUGUAUUUUUGAGUGUACAGUUUAGACUGAGACAUGAUGAACUAGCCAGCUAGAUGUUUAGCUUAUGUCACAGAGAGGCGCACACACACACACACACACAGUGGGCAAGGUGAGUAAGUGACUGAGGCUGUGUGAGUCAAAUGCAGUGAUUUAUUUUAGACAUUUAUGUUUACAUCAGCCAGCGACGGCUUCCCACAUGCGCGAUUCAUUUGCUGUGUCUGGACAGGGAGGGGUGAACAUCUCCUGCUCUGACUGCAGCUGGGAGGGACUGGACCGCCUGUGAGUGCUUUGGGAUGGGGGUGGGGCCCACGGCAGCGUUGAGAAGAGUAAGAACAAUAUGUGCUUUCACGUCAGAGUCUCAAAAAGUCUCCAAUAACACCAGAAAAGGUUGCUAGAUUUGUCGCUAGUCUAUUUUUUGGGGGGGAAAAUGUGUCUCUAGAGGGAUUUGAAUACUUGCUAAAUAUAACGACAAAGUCGCUAAGUUGGCAACACUGCUUCUUUCCCUUAGCAAGGCAGUUAACCCACUGUUCCCGGGCGCCGAAGACAUGGAUGUCGAUUAAGGCCCCCCACACCUCUCUGAUUCAGAGGUUUGGUUAAAUAUGGAAGGCAUUCAGUUGUACAUCUGACUAGGUAUCCCCCUUUCCCUAUUAUGGUAUCACAAUACCAGAUUAAAAGUGCAAUAUGCCAAAACCACUCUGCCAUUUCUGGUUGCUAAAAUUCUAAUAGUUCGCCUAUUUUCAGUUGUGACAAAACAAGCAGUCAUUGUGUAGGGAAUCAUUGCACCAUUUAAAUCGCUGUGAAAUAUAUUUUCCAUAAACCCAAAAUAUUGUAUUUUAGACUAUUUGAAGUCAAAAGUAAAAGACACAGAAACUAACAUUUAUGACGAA